UUCAGUAUUGCUAUUUUAGUUAAUUUACUCUACUUACGCUGAAAUACAGAAAAUUUUACUGUAAAUAUGCGCUUUUUUAUCUUUUUCUCCGAACUUUAAAAAAUUUAUACUUUUUUUCCUCAAAAUUUUAAGUUGAUGCGUUUAACGCUCCUUCGUUGGAAUUUCAUUACUAUUCUGUCAAUUUCUUAUGAUUUAUAUGAAAAUAUCUAUUUGAUCUAAUUUGAUUU
rnacentral:lncRNA from 1 species